rnacentral:tRNA from 1 species
GUAAAUACAGUUAGACAAAAACAUUAGAUUAUGAAUCUAACAAUAGAAGCUCAAAUCUUCUCAUUUACC